CUCAGGGCUGGAUCCAAUGCAGAGGAUUCUAACAGCUAUUUCCAUCUCGUCCCCGCACCUCCACUUCGAAACCCCAACUCCCAAUUCCCGUCCGGAAACCCGAAGCUCAAUCUUUUAUAGCUCUCCUCCUCCCGGUGCUCCGCCGGACCAAUUUGAGAGUGACGACGACGGCUUUCUCGUAAUUGAUCGUGAUGGAAAAGGGUAUUUCUGUCAAUUGGAACUGUGGAUAACGUGGGAUCGAGCGGCUGCCCUCUUAUUCAAAAUUAGGGUUUCUUCUUCUUGUUUCGUGUUGCUUUCGAGAUCUCUAGCAGAGAAUUAUGGCGUUAAUGAUGAUGACUGCGUUCGGUCCGAAGCUUCCGCUUCAACGGGAUAAAUCUCGAAUUUCUCGAGUGAUGGUGCCACUAAGUUUGAAAGCCACUCUAAGUAGAACAACUGAAAGAGCUACUGCUUGUAAUGUAUGGGAAGGUCAAAGCCUAACAUUUUUGCAUCAAAGAGGCUUAAGGCAUUCCCCUUGGUCCACAUUUGCAGUUGGUCCAGGUUUAGAAGCAUCAAUAUCUGAUCCGUCAAAGAAUGACAUAAGAUUGGACAAUGUUAAGAUAGUCAUCGAGUCACGUGACAAUGAUAAGAUUACUGUAAGAGUGGACUUAACUGGUGAGGAAACACAGAAGGCAUUUGAUAUUGUCUUAACAAAUUUGGCUCGCACUGCACCUCCAAUUCCAGGAUUCCGGAGAAUGAAAGGAGGAAAGACAUCCAAUGCAAAGGGGAAGGCAGUAGCAUCAGUUGCAUCGUUGGAAAGAAUCGGGUCGGACGACGAGACACCUUCACAAUCACAUUCUCUUUCUCGCUCGGUCCAGAGACAUGACAGCAACACGGACAGCAGUGCCUUGACAGAUGAUGGCGGUGAUGCCGGGCAAUCGUUGGUCUCGUCUACACAACUUGAGAGUAGUGAAUGGAUUGAGGAGCAAUAUUUUACACAUGCCACUCAAGAUUCAGAUCAUGGAACUCGACAAGGUAGUGGUCAAGUUUAUGCGCGGAAGGGGAAGGGGAAGGGGAAGGCAGUGGAUGAAUAUGAACAAAUACGACAGAGCAUACAUGAUAUAGACACAGAAAGAGGCUCAUCGUAUUAUGGAGAAUCAUACGGGCAACAACAAGAUGGUGAUAGUUGGUCAUCCUUCUCUGAGCAACAACAUUAUACAGAACAACACCAAUAUAUGCCUCAAGAGCUGCCUCGGACAAAUAUGAUUCAUGACGAUCAGUCUACGAUCAACACCACAUUGAUGCAUCAAUGGCACACGGUGUAUCAAUAUACUAUGUCAUGGGAUCAAUUUCAUGAUUGGGUCCAACAAACGUAUCAUAUUGAUAUGUAUCGGAUCGAGGACCCCGAUCCACUACCCGUGGAAGCCCGUCGUUCGUUUUGGUGGUAGAACAACAAUCAGGUAUAUCUAGAUAUGUGAUAAUUUAUUUCAUUUGAAUUUUAGAGUUUAUAUUGUAACAAAAUAGUCUAACAAUUUAACUGAUUUUUCUGUAGAUAUUUCAAUCUAUAACGGGCUGAAAUACGAACCUCGAACAAGACUACCUCAAAGCCUGAAAAAGAUAUGUGAUACUAUUUUUACCUAAUUUACAUUGAUUUUGCUAAACCUAUACUAUUACUAUAUUUAUUUGUAACUUGAAAACCCUAUCCUAACUUUUUUUUCUAAUUUUCAGGUAUUUUGGAGGGAUAAAUCGGUAAAAUCGGGUGUACCGCUCGGUACACCCGUACCGUACCGUACCGAGCCCGGGUCGAAACUCCGGUAUGGUACGGUGCCAAAGAGCUUUCUAUUACAGAUGCUUGGGCGAGACCGUGUAACUAAAUUUCUUAUACAAGAAAUUGUUGGUAUUACAAUUGGAGACUAUGUGAAGAAGGAAAACCUAAAGGUGAAAAGCCAGUUUAAAACGAUCCAG